GUCCCGCUUAUAUGUCAUGCUUGUGUGUGAGUAGAAUGCGUCCGCUUAUUUCAGUCGUUAUACAUGUUUUGGAGGUCGUGGUGGCGGCGUAGUGCGGUGUGCUUUAUGACGCUUUCGUAUCUGUGCGAGGUUGCAGAGGACGUGUCUGUACUUGCUGGGGUAGAAUUCAAAUUGUGAGGGAUGGUUGUGCUUAGAUUUGGUCGCUGCUGGUCGGUUCUUGAGUUCAGCGCAUGAAAACCUGCAACUGCUAUCAAGCGAACCACAGGAGGGAGCAGCAGGCAUAGAAGAAAUCCCAAGCCAAUUUUGCUCAGCUGUAGCAUCUUCCACUGACAAUAAGUCUGCACAGCAGCCUGGUGAGGCUGAUGUUCUUGCUCAGUAUAAGCCAACAAUGGAGAAACUGACCAAGCUAUCUUUCAUGAUCAGUUACACACCAAGCCUAUAUUUUUGCUGCUUCUACAUGUUGCUAUGAUGGUCAUUCAGCCCAUUUUCUUGAACCUGCACUACAACGAGAAAUUUGGGCUGCUUCUUUGUGGCUUCCAAACUUGAAAUGUUUGUUUGGAAGUUAGUUUAGAUUUUUGUUGUGGAUUCACAGCUUCUCACAUGUACCAUCCUC